AUUAAAUAGUUCAACAAACAUUCAGUUGCCAAGCAUUACUUUCUCCUAACAAUACAGGACAUCAUCAGGAAGGCAGGAUUAUGGUGAUAAAUGUUCAACAAAGGAAGAUACAAAUGUAAGUUAUAUUAAGAAUCACAAGUGGAAGCCUGGGAGGAUGAAAAAAUGACAUGGGAUCAAGAACCACAGUGAAGUGCUCUGACCACACCUUUUUUGCAUUAUCCUUUGUAUCAUUCUGGAGUGCUUUUAUAAAAGGAUAGUGUUUUCUGUUUCUUUUAGAAGACACUGAUGAUCAUCAAAAUGUAAAUUAUCAAUAAUUUUGUUAGAGUGAGUUAUAAUAACAGCUUGUGUAAGUUCUGUGUUUCUAGAUAUAGCUUUUAGCAUGCACUUUCUUACGCAGUGUUCUCUUAACAAAUUGAAUUUACUGCAAAGAUGCAUACUGUAGUUACAGUGUAUAUUUUAGUCAUGGAAAAAGUACCCUACAUCA